rnacentral:rRNA from 1 species
UAUUGGACAAUGGGCGCAAGCCUGAUCCAGCAAUACCGCGUGUGUGAAGAAGGCCUUAGGGUUGUAAAGCACUUUCAAUUGGGAGGAAAACCUGCCGGUCAAUACCCGGUAGCUUGACAUUACCUUUAGAAGAAGCACCGGCUAACUCCGUGCCAGCAGCCGCGGUAAUACGGAGGGUGCGAGCGUUAAUCGGAAUUACUGGGCGUAAAGCGUGCGUAGGCGGUUCGUUAAGUCAGAUGUGAAAGCCCUGGGCUCAACCUGGGAACUGCAUUUGAAACUGGCGGACUAGAGUUUAGUAGAGGGGAGUGGAAUUUCAGGUGUAGCGGUGAAAUGCGUAGAUAUCUGAAGGAACACCAGUGGCGAAGGGGACUCCCUGGACUAGAACUGACGCUGAGACGAAA